AUUGAACGCUGGCGGCAGGCCUAACACAUGCAAGUCGAGCGAGCGGCGGACGGGUGAGUAAUGUAUGGGGACUGCCCGCUAGAGGGGGAUAACUACUGGAAACGGUAGCUAAUACCGCAUACUAUCGGAUAACCCAUAUGGGCGUGGCUAGUAGGUGAGGUAAUGGCUCACCUAGGCGACGAUCCCUAGCUGGUCUGAGAGGAUGAUCAGCCACACUGGGACUGAGACACGGCCCAGACUCAUACGGAGGCAGCAGUGGGGGAUAGGGCACAAUGGGCGCAAGCCUGAUGCAGCCAUGCCGAGUGUAUGAAGAAGGCCCUGGGGUUGUAAAGUACUUUCAGUCGGAAGGCGUUACCGACAGAAGAAGCACCGGCUAACUCCGUGCCAGCAGCCGCGGUAAUAC
rnacentral:rRNA from 1 species